rnacentral:lncRNA from 1 species
ACUGUCCAAAUUUUUGAAUAUCUUGUUUUGUGAUUCCCAAUGGAUGUAUUUGUGGUAGAAUAGUGUAUUUUUUUCCAAUUUACCAAAAAAAAUAUUAAAGCACGACAACAAAAUACAUAUUUAGUACUACUAUUUUUUCUAUUUUUAAAAUUAUUUUUAUUAUUUUAAUUUUUAAAAUAAUAAUUUUUAAUUUAAAAAUAUUUUUAAAAAUUGAAACU